GAUGAACGCUGGCGGCGUGCUUAGCACAUGCAAGUCGAACGGGAAACCUUUUAUUGAAGCUUCGGCAGAUUUAGCUGGUUUCUAGUGGCGGACGGGUGAGUAACGCGUGGGUAACCUGCCUUAUACAGGGGGAUAACAACCAGAAAUGGUUGCUAAUACCGCAUAAGCGCACAGGACCGCAUGGUCCGGUGUGAAAAACUCCGGUGGUAUAAGAUGGACCCGCGUUGGAUUAGCUAGUUGGCAGGGUAACGGCCUACCAAGGCGACGAUCCAUAGCCGGCAUGAGAGGGUGAACGGCCACAUUGGGACUGAGACACGGCCCAGACUCCUACGGGAGGCAGCAGUGGGGAAUAUUGCACCAUGGGGGAAACCCUGAUGCAGCGACGCCGCGUGAAGGAAGAAGUAUCUCGGGAUGUAAACUUCUAUCAGCAGGGAAGAUAGUGACGGUACCUGACGAAGAAGCCCCGGCUAACUACGUG
rnacentral:rRNA from 1 species